CAUGCAGGUCGAGGGGCAGCAUUUCAGGUUUGCUUGCAAACUGGAGAUGGCGACCGGCGCACGGGCUGAGCUAACACGCUAUCCAACCUGCCGAUAACUCGGGGAUAGCCUUUCGAAAGAAAGAUUAAUACCCGAUGGUAUAAUCANACCGCAUGGUCUUGUUAUUAAAGAAUUUCGGUUAUCGAUGGGGAUGCGUUCCAUUAGGCAGUUGGUGAGGUAACGGCUCACCAAACCUUCNAUGGAUAGGGGUUCUGAGAGGAAGGUCCCCCACAUUGGAACUGAGACACGGUCCAAACUCAUACGGGAGGCAGCAGUGAGGAAUAUUGGUCAAUGGGCGCAGGCCUGAACCAGCCAAGUAGCGUGAAGGAUGACUGCCCUAUGGGUUGUAAACUUCUUUUAUAUGGGAAAUAAAGUUUUUCCACGUGUGGAAUUUUUGUAUGUACCAUAUGAAUAAGGAUCGGGCUAACUUCCGUGCCAGCAGGCCGCGGUAAUACGGAGGAUCCCGAGCGUUAUCCGGAUUUAUUGGGUUUAAAAGGGAGCGUAGGUGGACAGUUAAGUCAGUUGUGAAAGUUUGCGGCUCAACCGUAAAAUUGCAGUUGAUACUGGCUGUCUUGAGUACAGUAGAGGUGGGCGGAAUUCGUGGUGUAGCGGUGAAAUGCUUAGAUAUCACGAAGAACUCCGAUUGCGAAGGCAGCUCACUGGACUGCAACUGACACUGAUGCUCGAAAGUGUGGGUAUCAAACAGGAUUAGAUACCCUGGUAGUCCACACAGUAAACGAUGAAUACUCGCUGUUUGCGAUAUACAGUAAGCGGCCAAGCGAAAGCAUUAAGUAUUCCACCUGGGGAGUACGCCGGCAACGGUGAAACUCAAAGGAAUUGACGGGGGCCCGCACAAGCGGAGGAACAUGUGGUUUAANUUCGAUGAUACGCGAGGAACCUUUACCCGGGCUUAAAUUGCAUUUGAAUAUAUUGGAAACAGUAUAGCCCGUAAGGCAAAUGUGAAGGUGCUGCAUGGUUGUCGUCAGCUCGUGCCGUGAGGGGUCGGCUUAAGUGCCAUAACGAGCCGCAACCCUUAUCUUUAGUUACUAACAGGUCAUGCUGAGGACUCUAGAGAGACUGCCGUCGUAAGAUGUGAGGAAGGUGGGGAUGACGUCAAAUCAGCACGGCCCUUACGUCCGGGGCUACACACGUGUUACAAUGGGGGGUACAGAAGGCAGCUACCUGGUGACAGGAUGCUAAUCCCAAAAGCCUCUCUCAGUUCGGAUCGAAGUCUGCAACCCGACUUCGUGAAGCUGGAUUCGCUAGUAAUCGCGCAUCAGCCAUGGCGCGGUGAAUACGUUCCCGGGCCUUGUACACACCGCCCGUCAAGCCAUGAAAGCCGGGGGUACCUGAAGUACGAACCGCAAGGAG
rnacentral:rRNA from 1 species